AGUAAAUAGAUACCCCGGUAGUCCACGCCCUAAACGAUGCAUAUUUGGUGUGGGCAGUUCAUUCUGUCCGUGCCGGAGCUAAACGCGUUAAAUAUGCCGCCUGGGGAGUACAGUCGCAAGGCUGAAACUCAAAGGAAUUGCCGGGGGCCCGCACAAGCGGUGGAGCAUGUGGUUCAAUUCGACGCAACGCGAAGAACCUUACCUGGGCUCGAACGGCCGGUCAACGGCGGUGGAAACAUCGCUACCCCGCAAGGGGGUCCGGGUCGAGGUGCUGCAUGGCUGUCGUCAGCUCGUGUCGUGAGAUGUUGGGUUAAGUCCCGCAACGAGCGCAACCCUUGUCCUGUGUUGCCAUCAUUUAGUUGGGAACUCGCAGGAGACCGCCAGGGAUAACCUGGAGGAAGGUGGGGAUGACGUCAAGUCCUCAUGGCCUUUAUGUCCAGGGCUACACACGUGCUACAAUGGCCGGUACAAAGCGUCGCAAACUCGCGAGA
rnacentral:rRNA from 1 species